rnacentral:rRNA from 1 species
AACUGUGGUGGCAAUACCCUAAAAGUAUCAGAUCCUGUCUGAUCUCUGAAAUGAAGAAGAGUCAAUGCUGGUUAGUACUUGGAUGGGAGCCACUAAUGGAUACCAAGUUCUGUUGGCU